GACGAGGGAUCCUAGCGUUGUUCGGAAUCAUUGGGCGUAAAGCGGGUGUAGGUGGCUUUGUAAGUCAGGUGUGAAAGCCCAGGGCUCAACCCUGGAAGUGCAUUUGAUACUGCGAAGCUUGAGUGCUGGAGAGGUAAGUAGAAUACCUGGUGUAGUGGUGAAAUACGUAGAUAUCAGGUGGAAUACCGGAGGCGAAGGCGGCUUACCAGCCAGACACUGACACUCAGACCCGAAAGUGUGGGGAUCAAACAGG
rnacentral:rRNA from 1 species